CUCAGUGUGUCUGUCUCUCCUCUCAGUGUGUCUGUGUGUCUGUCUCUCAUCACAGUGUGUCUGUCUGAGGUGGUGCUCACACCACACAACCCCAACGUUCUGCGACAGCAACACCACCCGUUUAUCCGUCUGUUGAUCACAUUGUCUCAUGUGGCUUCACAGCUGUCUGAUGCACAUUAAGUGCUCAGAGUUUGUUUCUCUGUUUCUGCAGAAUCUACCACCACCGCUACCGCUACCGCUACCGCUAGCAGCAGAAGGAGCUGUGUUAUUCUUUUGUUAUCUAAUGUUCUUCAGAGGCUUUUCAGUCCAAACAAGAAACACAUGUUGAUGGAGAAACAGAUUUGUCUCUGCUUACUGUAUACUGAGUUCUCCUGCCAGCAGCUCCUAUUGGGCGAAGGUAUUUAUCAAAGCAAAUAUUAAGAUUGUAUUAAGCUUUAUUUUCUGACUGUCAAUUGUGUGUUAUAGUUCUCACUAUAGAUGACAAUAACACGGUCAAAUGAUAACAUUUAGAUUAUUUUUGCCGGUGAAACCCACAGUGUAAUAUGACGCCUAUGCACUGAACGGGUUUAGUUUUGUAUGUUUCUUGUUGCCUCUUGAUAAAGAACACUUGUGUGGUUUUUAUCCCACCAAUAGAUGGAUUACUCAGUUCCUGGUGGAUUGGAAGGAGUCCAAUGGGAUGAAUACACGUAGCAGUGCAGCUGUAAAUGAGAUCUUCUUUAAUGCGAGAGUAGUUUGAACAGCUGGUGGAACAUCAGUGAGUCACGAGAAGACACGUUUAUGAGGACGGUGAGAGGUUUAAGACUCUGAACGUUACCACACGUCAAUCUGAGAUAAAUGAUCUCUCCCUCCCUCCCCCUCUCUCUCUCUCUCUGCAGCAUCACGUUCCCUCGGUCCCGACCUUCAGACCGUCCAUGUCCGUCCCUGAUUGGCUGGUGGCCAUCCAGAACUACAUGAAGGCUCUGCAAUACAACCACACAGGAACCCAGUUCUUUGAGAUCAAGAAGAGCCGUCCACUGUGUGGGUUAAUGGAGACGGCAAGAGAGAUGAUCAGAGAGUCUUUGCCAAUCAAAUGUCUCGAAGCCGUCAUCUUGGGAAUGUAUCCUUUACUACACACACACACAUACACACACACUUCACAGGCUUAGUAUCAUCCAGCAGAGCUUCAAUAUUAAAGCAGCAAUCUCUCUUUCUCUCUAAAACAGUUUUAUUUGUGUCCAUUCAUCAAACCAGUGGUUUCCUCUGGACCAACGGGACCUCGACUUCAGAAGAAGAAUUUUGUAUUUUUGGUCAAUUUAAAAGAUAAAUUUGCAAGUCUCUGGAUAAACACAUGUCGUCAGAUAACGUAAACCAAACUGUGACGUUCUCGACUGGUUCCAGAGCUGCUGCUUUUAUUUUGUGAAUACCUUUUGGGUUCUUGUCAAAUAAAAUAAGCCUUUUAAAUUUGGUUCAUAAAGGUUAAAUAAACAAUAGAAACCUGUGACGGGCACAUUUCUGUACUCAUCCUUCAAAAUAUUGACUUAUUUGAUGAUUACAUCAGAAAGAUUUCAGAAUUUCCAUUUCAUAUUGAAUAAAUAAAUAAAUGCUUAAAAUGCACACAGAAAUAUUAAGUGCACUUAUUGUUCAAUAGGCUUAAUAUUUCCUAAUUUGAAGAACAAACUCUAAUCAUGUUGUACCAGUGCAACCACAUAUUAUCAUAUGCUUCAUCAACGCAUUCCCAGCAGGAGACGAGGCUCUGUUAAAGUGUAAUAACAGUGUAAUAACAUGUACAGGAGCCAGCAUGUGGCAUGUAAACUGUUUGGGUUUCUGGAGGUACUGGAGAGGUUCCUCUCCAGGAGGAG